CUUGUGACUACUUCCUUUCAGUUCUAAUAGUAAUGCCAUAAAGUCGCUGUGGAAUGAACUGUGACUCUUCCCUCCACCCAGUGCACACUCGGAUUGCUGAAAGAAGUAAAUGAGUGGAUGGGAUGUUCUUACCCUCCUGUGUCAUCUCCAAGCUGAAUACGCUGGAUCUGUGACAGACAACAAGACCA
rnacentral:lncRNA from 1 species